rnacentral:rRNA from 1 species
CCUACGGGAGGCAGCAGUGGGGAAUUUUGGACAAUGGGCGCAAGCCUGAUCCAGCAAUGCCGCGUGAGUGAAGAAGGCCUUCGGGUUGUAAAGCUCUUUUGUCAGGGAAGAAACGGUGGGGACUAAUACUUCCUGCUAAUGACGGUACCUGAAGAAUAAGCACCGGCUAACUACGUGCCAGCAGCCGCGGUAAUACGUAGGGUGCAAGCGUUAAUCGGAAUUACUGGGCGUAAAGCGUGCGCAGGCGGUUGUGCAAGACAGAUGUGAAAUCCCCGGGCUCAACCUGGGAAUUGCAUUUGUGACUGCACGGCUAGAGUGUGUCAGAGGGGGGUAGAAUUCCACGUGUAGCAGUGAAAUGCGUAGAGAUGUGGAGGAAUACCGAUGGCGAAGGCAGCCCCCUGGGAUAACACUGACGCUCAUGCACGAAAGCGUGGGGAGCAAACAGGAUUAGAUACCCUGGUAGUCCACGCCCUAAACGAUGUCUACUAGUUGUCGGGUCUUAAUUGACUUGGUAACGCAGCUAACGCGUGAAGUAGACCGCCUGGGGAGACGGUCGCAAGNUUAAAACGUCAAAGGAAUUGACGGCGNGAGAGAGCGACGACGACGACGAGGGAGGAGG